rfam:Hordeum vulgare subsp. vulgare, WGS project CAJW01000000 data, contig: morex_contig_66523
CUUAUACUCCCUCCGUCCCAACAUUCUUGUCUUAGAUUUGUCUAGAUAUGAAUAUAUCUAGUCAUGUUAUAGUAUUUAGAUACAUUCAUUUCUAGACAAAUUUAAGACAAGAAUUUUGGGAUGGAGGGACUAUUUA